rnacentral:rRNA from 1 species
AUUGAACGCUGGCGGCAGGCCUAACACAUGCAAGUCGAGCGGAGCGGCGGACGGGUGAGUAAUGCCUAGGAAUCUGCCUGGUAGUGGGGGAUAACGUCCGGAAACGGGCGCUAAUACCGCAUACUAUCAGAUGAGCCUAGGUCGGAUUAGCUAGUUGGUGGGGUAAAGGCCUACGAAGGCGACGAUCCGUAACUGGUCUGAGAGGAUGAUGAGUGACACGGGAACUGGGACACGGUCCAGACUCCUACGGGAUGCAGCAGGGGGGAAUAUUGGACAAUGGGCGAAAGCCGGAUCCAGCCAUGCCGGGUGUGUGAAGAAGGUCUUCGGAUUGUAAAGCACUUUAAGUUGGGAGGCGUUACCAACAGAAUAAGCACCGGCUAACUUCGUGCCAGCAGCCGCGGUAAUC